rnacentral:rRNA from 1 species
GUCAUAUGCUUGUCUCAAAGAUUAAGCCAUGCAUGUCUCAGUACAAGCCAAAUUAAGGUGAAACCGCGAAAGGCUCAUUAAAUCAGUUAUGGUUCCUUAGAUCGUACCCACAAUUACUUGGAUAACUGUGGUAAUUCUAGAGCUAAUACAUGCAAACAGAGCUCCGACCGGAGACGGAAGGAGUGCUUUUAUUAGAUCAAAACCAAUCGGUGGCGGGUUCGCUCGUUAUCGUACAACUUGGUGACUCUGAAUAACUUUACGCUGAUCGCACGGUCAUCGCACCGGCGACGCAUCUUUCAAAUGUCUGCCUUAUCAACUGUCGAUGGUAGGUUCUGCGCCUACCAUGGUUGUAACGGGUAACGGGGAAUCAGGGUUCGAUUCCGGAGAGGGAGCCUGAAAAACGGCUACCACAUCCAAGGAAGGCAGCAGGCGCGCAAAUUACCCACUCCCGGCRCGGGGAGGUARUGACRAAAAAUAACRAUACGGGACUCAUCCGAGGCCCCGUAAUC